rnacentral:rRNA from 1 species
GACGAACGCUGGCGGCGUGCCUAAUACAUGCAAGUCGAACGCAGUGGGGACGGGUGAGUAACACGUGGGUAACCUCCCAUCAGAGGGGAUAACACUUGGAAACAGGUGCUAACCCGCUACUGAUGCAUGAACCCGCGGGCCAUUAGCUAGUGGGUGAGGUAACGGCUCACCAAGGCCACGAUGCAUAGCCGACCUGAAAGGGGGAUCGGCCACACUGGGAAUGAGACACGGCCCAGACGCCUACGGGAGGCAGCAGGAGGGAAUCUUCGGCAAUGGACGAAAGUCUGACCGAGCAACGCCGCGUGAGUGAAGAAGGUUUUCGGAUCGUAAAACGCUGUUGUUAGAGAAGCGGUAUCUAACCAGAAAGCAACGGCUAACUACGUGCCAGCAGCCGCGGUAAUUC